GACGAACGCUGGCGGCGUGCUUAACACAUGCAAGUCGAGCGGUAAGGCCCUUUCGGGGGUACACGAGCGGCGAACGGGUGAGUAACACGUGGGUGACCUGCCCUCAGCUCUGGGAUAAGCCUGGGAAACCGGGUCUAAUACCGGAUAUGACUCCAUGACGCAUGUUGUGGGGUGGAAAGCCUUGUGCGGCUGAGGAUGGGCCCGCGGCCUAUCAGCUUGUUGGUGGGGUGAUGGCCUACCAAGGCGACGACGGGUAGCCGGCCUGAGAGGGCGACCGGCCACACUGGGACUGAGACACGGCCCAGACUCCUACGGGAGGCAGCAGUGGGGAAUAUUGGACAAUGGGGGCAACCCUGAUCCAGCGACGCCGCGUGUGUGAAGAAGGCCUGCGGGUUGUAAAGCACUUUUAGUGGGGAGUAGAAAAGCACCGGGCUAAUACCCCAGGUGUCUUGACCUAACCCAAAGAAAAGCACCGGCUAACUCUGUGCCAGCAGCCGCCGUAAU
rnacentral:rRNA from 1 species